GGACGAACGCUGGCGGCGUGCCUAAUACAUGCAAGUUGAGCGAUGAAGAUUGGUGCUUGCACCAAUUUGAAGAGCAGCGAACGGGUGAGUAACGCGUGGGGAAUCUGCCUUUGAGCGGGGGACAACAUUUGGAAACGAAUGCUAAUACCGCAUAACAACUUUAAACAUAAGUUUUAAGUUUGAAAGAUGCAAUUGCAUCACUCAAAGAUGAUCCCGCGUUGUAUUAGCUAGUUGGUGAGGUAAAGGCUCACCAAGGCGAUGAUACAUAGCCGACCUGAGAGGGUGAUCGGCCACAUUGGGACUGAGACACGGCCCAAACUCCUACGGGAGGCAGCAGUAGGGAAUCUUCGGCAAGAGACGAAAGUCUGACCGAGCAACGCCGCGUGAGUGAAGAAGGUUUUCGGAUCGUAAAACUCUGUUGGUAGAGAAGAACGUUGGUGAGAGUGGAAAGCUCAUCAAGUGACGGUAACUACCCAGAAAGGGACGGCUAACUACGUG
rnacentral:rRNA from 1 species